rnacentral:rRNA from 1 species
GGCGGCAUGCUUACCAUGCAAGUCGAAGGCAGCACGGGACAAUCCUGGUGGCAACUGGCAAACGGGUAAGUAAUAUAUCGGAACGUGCCCAGUCGUGGGGGAUACCGUACCAAAACCUACGCUAUUACCGCAUACAAUCUAUGGAUAAAAGCGGGGGAUCGCAAGACCUCGCGCGAUUGGAGCGGCCGAUAUCAGAUUAGCUAGUUGGUGAGGUAAAGGCUCACCAAGCCGACGAUCUGUAGCUGGUCUGAGAGGACGACCAGCCACACUGGGACUGAGACACGGCCCAGACUCCUACGGGAGGCAGCAGUGGGGAAUUUUGGACAAUGGGGGCAACCCUGAUCCAGCAAUGCCGCGU